GACGAACGCUGGCGGCGUGCCUAAUACAUGCAAGUCGAGCGGACCGAACAGGAGCUUGCUCUUGUUCGGUUAGCGGCGGACGGGUGAGUAACACGUGGGUAACCUGCCCGUAAGACCGGGAUAACUCCGGGAAACCGGAGCUAAUACCGGAUAACACCGAAGACCGCAUGGUCUUUGGUUGAAAGGCGGCUUCGGCUGCCACUUACGGAUGGGCCCGCGGCGCAUUAGCUAGUUGGUGAGGUAACGGCUCACCAAGGCGACGAUGCGUAGCCGGCCUGAGAGGGUGACCGGCCACACUGGGACUGAGACACGGCCCAGACUCCUACGGGAGGCAGCAGUAGGGAAUCUUCCGCAAUGGACGAAAGUCUGACGGAGCGACGCCGCGUGAGCGAAGAAGGCCUUCGGAUCGUAAAGCUCUGUUGUUAGGGAAGAAGAAGCGUCGUUCGAACAGGGCGGCGCGGUGACGGUACCUAACGAGAAAGCCCCGGCUAACUACGUG
rnacentral:rRNA from 1 species